rnacentral:rRNA from 1 species
GACGAACGCUGGCGGCGUGCUUAACACAUGCAAGUCGAACGGUAAGGCCCUUCGGGGUACACGAGUGGCGAACGGGUGAGUAACACGUGGGUGAUCUGCCCUGCACUCCGGGAUAAGCCUGGGAAACUGGGUCUAAUACCGGAUAGGACCACUGCCUGCAUGGGUGGUGGUGGAAAGCUUUUGCGGUGUGGGAUGGGCCCGAGGCCUAUCAGCUUGUUGGUGGGGUGAUGGCCUACCAAGGCGACGACGGGUAGCCGGCCUGAGAGGGUGACCGGCCACACUGGGACUGAGAUACGGCCCAGACUCCUACGGGAGGCAGCAGUGGGGAAUAUUGCACAAUGGGCGCAAGCCUGAUGCAGCGACGCCGCGUGAGGGAUGACGGCCUUCGGGUCGUAAACCUCUUUCAGCACCGACGAAGCGCAAGUGACGGUAGGUGCAGAAGAAGGACCGGCCAACUACGUGCCAGCCGCCGCCGUAA